rnacentral:misc_RNA from 1 species
CCGAGUUUACAACUCCCAAACCCAAUGUGAACGUUACCAAACUGUUGCCUCGGCGGGAUCUUCUGCCCCGGGUGCGUCGCAGCCCCGGACCAAGGCGCCCGCCGGAGGAAUCAACCAAAACUCUUAUUGUAUACCCCCUCGCGGGUUUUUUAUAAUCUGAGCCUUCUCGGCGCCUCUCGUAGGCGUUUCGAAAAUGAAUCA